AUUUUAUACUUUUAUCUUAUUUCAGUGACUUGUGUUUGCCUAAAAUAUUUUAUAUCUUUGGGAGAAAACAAAAAUUACAGCAGCUUGUGAAGGCCACAGAAAGACAAGUUUAACUGGAGUACAACUGUCAAGAAAUUUUUUCAACAAACA